AUGCGGCUCAGGGACGGUUCCUAGAGCUGCCUGCUCCAAGGGAGCUCCGUCCUCAGGCUGGCUGAUGGGGGCGUCGGAGACCCCUUCGCUGCUUGGCCUUCCCAACCGGACGCUCAGCGUCUCCGUGGGCUCAAGAAGGUCUCUCGGAGCGCUGCGGGAGCUCGCUGACCCGGGGCGCCCGGCGCUGCGACUCCGGAGACCCGGCCCCGAGCAGACGGCAGCGGUAGCCGGAGAACCCGGUCCCCAUAUGGAGCGACCUGGAGAAGAGCGAGAACGGCUCGUCCUCGUUAGUAUAGUGAGGUGGAAUUCCGUCAGCUGCUCUCAUGAGGCUGUUUCUCAGCAGCGGAAUGUGGGCGUGCAUCAGCCCACCUGUUGAUACUUUUCUGUGGUUUUCAAUCUUGAGUGUAUUUUGAUAAAAAAUCAAUCAUAAAAAUAAAAUGAUGUGGCAGUGAUUGUAGCGGACUGAAUAGUAGCCUCCGCAAGAUGUGUCCGCCUGGAAGCUAGGAGUGUGAUCUUGAAAUAAGGGCCUUUGCAGGUGUCAUUAAAGUAAGAGACUCGAGAGGAGAUCAUCGUGAAUUAGGGUAGGUCCUGAGUCUAGUGACACGUGUCCUUACAAGAGACAGAAAAGGAAAGGCCACACAGAGACGUAGAAGGACAGGGGCCGACGGGGGAGCGAUGGAGCGAUGCAUCUAAAAGCCGAGGAGUGCCGAGGAUUGCCCGCCACACCAGGAGCUCCGAGAGGUUUCAUCCUCGAAGCCUCCAGGAGGAACCAACCCUGCGGACACCUUGACUUCAGACUUUUAGCCUCUAAACUGUGAGAAUAAAUCCAGUUUGUGGUCAUUCGUUACAGCAGCCCCAGGAGACACAGUAAUGAUGACCUCGUGACUCAUUUAUUCAACAAAUGUUUGUUGCCAGCUUCCUCUCUCCUGGUCAUUGGGCUGACAUGUUUGAGAAGAACGGGACAGACUGCAUGAACUGAAUGAUUGGGAAAGAAAUUAUGAGGAAAC
rnacentral:lncRNA from 1 species